rnacentral:rRNA from 17 species
UACCACCAUUCCUAGACCAAUACUCGACUUGAUACCGAACUGCAGCUUGCAUGGCU